rnacentral:ncRNA from 1 species
GUCUAAGUACAUGCCGUAUAAAGGCAAAACCGGGAAUGGCUCAUUAAAUCAGUUAUCGUUCCGUGGAUCGUACCUUACUAAUUUGAUAACUGUGGCAAUUCUAGAGCUAAUAUAUGCAGCAGAGCUCCGACCCUCUGGGGACGAGUGCUUUUAUUAGACCAAAACUAAUCGGACCUCACCUUUUCAUGAAUAAGUUCAGUGAAUAUGUGUUUUGCAGGCAUUGGGGUGUUUUUCAUAAAACUUCAUCUUUGAU